GUCCUUUAGAUAUUAAUUUAAGGUCUAACCUGCCCACUGAAUUAUUUUAAAUGGCCGCAGUAAUUUGACUGUGCAAAGGUAGCAUAAUCAUUAGUUUUUUAAUUAAAAGCUUGUAUGAAAGGUUGGACGAAGUAAAAUCUGUCUCUAAUUAAAUUAAUUUAGAAUUUAACUUUUAAGUUAAAAGGCUUAAAUUUAACUAAAAGACGAGAAGACCCUAUAGAUCUUUAUAUUUUAAUUAUUAAAUUUAAUUAAGAAUUUUUAAAAUUUUAUUAAUUUAGAUAUUUUAUUGGGGUAAUAUAAAGAUUAAAAUAAUUCUUUUUUUUUAUUAACAUUAAUUUAUGAUUUUUAUGAUCCAAUUAUAUUGAUUUUAAGAUUAAGUUACCUUAGGGAUAACAGCGUAAUUUUUUUAGAGAGUUCUUAUCGAUAAAAAAGUUUGCGACCUCGAUGUUGGAUUAAAGAUUAUUUUAGGUGCAGAAGUUUAAAAAUUUUGGUCUGUUCGACCAUUAAAUCUUUACAUGAUCUGAGUUCAGACCGGUGUAAGCCAGGUCGGUUUCUAUCUUUAGUAAAUUAAAAUAUUUUAGUACGAAAGGACCAAUUAUUUAAUAUAAUAUUUAAAUUUUGAUUAUUAUUAA
rnacentral:rRNA from 1 species